GACGAACGCUGGCGGCGUGCUUAACACAUGCAAGUCGAACGGAAAGGCCCUGCUUUUGUGGGGUGCUCGAGUGGCGAACGGGUGAGUAACACGUGAGUAACCUGCCCUUGACUUUGGGAUAACUUCAGGAAGCUGGGGCUAAUACCGGAUAGGAGCUCCUGCUGCAUGGUGGGGGUUGGAAAGUUUCGGCGGUUGGGGAUGGACUCGCGGCUUAUCAGCUUGUUGGUGGGGUAGUGGCUUACCAAGGCUUCGACGGGUAGCCGGCCUGAGAGGGUGACCGGCCACAUUGGGACUGAGAUACGGCCCAGACUCCUACGGGAGGCAGCAGUGGGGAAUAUUGCACAAUGGGCGGAAGCCUGAUGCAGCAACGCCGCGUGCGGGAUGACGGCCUUCGGGUUGUAAACCGCUUUCGCCUGUGACGAAGCGUGAGUGACGGUAAUGGGUAAAGAAGCACCGGCUAACUACGUG
rnacentral:rRNA from 1 species